rnacentral:rRNA from 1 species
AGAGCGAACGCUGGCGGCAGGCUUAACACAUGCAAGUCGAGCGGGCGUAGCAAUACGUCAGCGGCAGACGGGUGAGUAACGCGUGGGAACGUACCUUUUGGUUCGGAACAACCCAGGGAAACUUGGGCUAAUACCGGAUAAGCCCUUACGGGGAAAGAUUUAUCGCCGAAAGAUCGGCCCGCGUCUGAUUAGCUAGUUGGUGAGGUAAUGGCUCACCAAGGCGACGAUCAGUAGCUGGUCUGAGAGGAUGAUCAGCCACAUUGGGACUGAGACACGGCCCAAACUCCUACGGGAGGCAGCAGUGGGGAAUAUUGGACAAUGGGCGCAAGCCUGAUCCAGCCAUGCCGCGUGAGUGAUGAAGGCCCUAGGGUUGUAAAGCUUCUUUUGUGCGGGAAGAUAAUGACGGUACCGCAAGAAUAACGCCCCGGCUAACUUCGCGCCAGCAGCCGC